AUUGAACGCUGGCGGCAUGCCUUACACAUGCAAGUCGAACGGCAGCACGGGAGCAAUCCUGGUGGCGAGUGGCGAACGGGUGAGUAAAGUAUCGGAACGUGCCCAGUCGUGGGGGAUAACGUAGCGAAAGUUACGCUAAUACCGCAUACGAUCUAUGGAUGAAAGCGGGGGAUCGCAAGACCUCGCGCGAUUGGAGCGGCGGAUAUCAGAUUAGGUAGUUGGUGGGGAAAAGGCUCACCAAGCCGACGAUCUGUAGCUGGUCUGAGAGGACGACCAGCCACACUGGGACUGAGACACGGCCCAGACUCCUACGGGAGGCAGCAGUGGGGAAUUUUGGACAAUGGGCGAAAGCCUGAUCCAGCCAUGCCGCGUGCAGGAUGAAGGCCUUCGGGUUGUAAACUGCUUUUGUAUGGAACGAAAAGGUUUGGCCUAAUAAGCUGAGCUCAUGACGGUACCGUAAGAAUAAGCACCGGCUAACUACGUGCCAGCCGCCGCGGUAA
rnacentral:rRNA from 1 species